UUAAAUUGAAGAGUUUGAUCAUGGCUCAGAUUGAACGCUGGCGGCAGGCCUAACACAUGCAAGUCGAACGGUAACAGGAAGCAGCUUGCUGCUUCGCUGACGAGUGGCGGACGGGUGAGUAAUGUCUGGGAAACUGCCUGAUGGAGGGGGAUAACUACUGGAAACGGUAGCUAAUACCGCAUAACGUCGCAAGACCAAAGAGGGGGACCUUCGGGCCUCUUGCCAUCGGAUGUGCCCAGAUGGGAUUAGCUUGUUGGUGGGGUAACGGCUCACCAAGGCGACGAUCCCUAGCUGGUCUGAGAGGAUGACCAGCCACACUGGAACUGAGACACGGUCCAGACUCCUACGGGAGGCAGCAGUGGGGAAUAUUGCACAAUGGGCGCAAGCCUGAUGCAGCCAUGCCGCGUGUAUGAAGAAGGCCU
rnacentral:rRNA from 1 species